rnacentral:rRNA from 1 species
UCCGUAGCUUGAUUCACAAGUCCCUUGAGAAAUCCAUCGGCUUAACUGAUGGGCGUUCAGGGGAUACUGUGGUUCUAGGGACCGGGAGAGGUGAGAGGUACUGCCGGGGUAGGAGUGAAAUCCUGUAAUCCCGGUGGGACGACCUAUGGCGAAGGCAUCUCACCAGAACGGCUCCGACAGUGAGGGACGAAAGCUGGGGGGAGCAAACC